GCCCCCGUAGCUCAACUGGAUAGAGCGGAGCACUUCUAAUGCUUGGGUUGUGAGUUCGAGUCUCGCCGGGGGCG
rnacentral:tRNA from 1 species